rnacentral:rRNA from 1 species
CCUACGGGGCGCAGCAGGUGCGAAAAUUCCGCAAUGUGCGCAAGCGCGACGGAGUGACUCCCAGUGUCGAUGGUCUAACGACCGUCGGCUUUUCUGGAAUGUAAAAAGUUCCAGGUAAUAAGGGCCGGGUAAGACUGGUGCCAGCCGCCGCGGUAACACCAGCGGCUCAAGUGGUAGCCGAUUUUAUUGGGCCUAAAGCGUCCGUAGCCGGACCGGCAAGCCCCUUGUGAAAUCGGGCGGCUUAACCGCUCGGCUUGCAGGGGGAACUGUUGGUCUUGGGGUCGGCAGGCGUCGAGGGUACUCCGGGGGUAGCGGUGAAAUGCUAUAAUCCCUGGGGGACCGCCAGUGCGAAAGCGCUCGGCGGGGCCGAACCCGACGGUGAGGGACGAAAGCCAGAGGAGCGAACCGGAUUAGAUACCCGGGUAGUUCUGGCCGCAAAGAAUGUGGGCUAGGUGCUUGGUGUUCCUCGAGAACACUAGGUGCCGAAGGGAAGCCGUUAAGCCCACCGCCUGGGAAUUACGGCCGCAAGGCUGAAACUUAAAGAAAUUGGCGGGGGAGCACCACAAGGGGUGGAGCCUGCGGUUUAAUUGGAUUCAACGCCGGACACCUCACCGGGGGCGACGGCAGAGUGAAGGCCAAGCUGACGACUUUGCCGGACUUGCCGAGAGGUGGUGCAUGGCCGCCGUCAGCUCGUAUCGUGAGACGUCCUGUUAAGUCAGGCAACGAGCGAGACCCUUUCCUCUAGUUACCAGCGGAUUCCACUGGAAUGCCGGGCACUCUAGAGGCACCGCUGCCGAUAAGGUAGAGGAAGGAGAGGGCGACGGUAGGUCCGUAUGCCCCGAAUCCCCCGGGCAACACGCGGGCUACAAUGCGUAGGGCAGAGGGCUGCGAUCCCGAGAGGGAGAGCCAAUCCCUAAACCUGCGCUUAGUUCGGAUCGAGGGCUGCAACCCGCCCUCGUGAAGCUGGAAUCCCUAGUAACUGUGUGUCACUAUCGCACGGUGAAUACGUCCCUGCUCCUUGCACACACCGCCCGUCAAGCCAUCCGGGUGGGAUCUGGAUGAGGCCUGCCCAGUUUGAGUAGGUCAAAUCCGGGUUUCGCAAGGAGGGCUAAGUCGUAACAAGGUAACC